AAUGCCCCCUAGCUCAAAGGUCCGCCGCCACAGGAUGGGUCUGCGGCCGAUUAGGUUGUUGUUGGGGUAACGGCCCAACAAGCCUUUGAUCGGUACGGGUUGUGGGAGCAAGAGCCCGGAGAUGGAUUCUGAGACACGAAUCCAGGCCCUACGGGGCGCAGCAGGCGCGAAAACUUUACAAUGCGAGAAAUCGUGAUAAGGGAACCCCGAGUGCCCGUAAAUUCGGGCUGUCCGCCAGUGCAAAAAACUGGUGAAGAAAGGGCCGGGCAAGACCGGUGCCAGCCGCCGCGGUAAUACCGGCGGCUCGAGUGGUGGCCACUAUUACUGGGCUUAAAGCGUCCGUAGCUUGGUUGUUAAGUCUCCUGGGAAAUCCAUCGGCUCAACCGAUGGGCGUUCAGGAGAUACUGGCAACCUAGGGACCGGGAGAGGUGAGAGGUACUCCAGGGGUAGGGGUGAAAUCUUGUAAUCCUUGAAGGACCACCAGUGGCGAAGGCGUCUCACCAGAACGGGCCUGACGGCAAGGGACGAAAGCUAGGGGCACGAACCGGAUUAGAUACC
rnacentral:rRNA from 1 species